rnacentral:rRNA from 1 species
CCCUUAGAUGUUCUGGGCUGCACGCGCGCUACACUGAUGCGCUCAACGAGUUUACGAACUUGCCCGGAAGGGUUGGUUAAUCUUUUUAAAACGCAUCGUGAUGGGGAUAGAUUAUUGCAAUUAUUAAUCUUCAACGAGGAAUGCCUAGUAAGCGCAAGUCAUCAGCUUGCGUUGAUUACGUCCCUGCCCUUUGUACACACCGCCCGUCGCUCCUACCGAUUGAAUGGUCCGGUGAAGCGCUCGGACCGCGGCCUCUUGACGGUUCGCUGUCGAUUGGCUGUGGGAAGUUCGUUAAACCUUAUCAUUUAGAGGAAGGAGAAGUCGUAACA